rnacentral:rRNA from 1 species
UGACAGUACUCCUACGGGAGGCAGCAGUGGGGAAUAUUGCACAAUGGGCGCAAAGCCUGAUGCAGCAACGCCGUGUGAGUGAAGAAGGUUUUCGGAUCGUAAACUCUGUCCUAAGGGAAGAAACAAAUGACGGUACCUUAGGAGGAAGCCCCGGCUAACUACGUGCCAGCAGCCGCGGUAAUACGUAGGGGGCAAGCGUUAUCCGGAAUCACUGGGCGUAAAGGGUGCGUAGGCGGCUUAGCAAGCCAGGGGUGAAAGGCAUUGGCUCAACCAAUGUAAGCCUUUGGAACUGUUAAGCUUGAGUGCAGGAGAGGUAAGUGGAAUUCCUAGUGUAGAGGUGAAAAUUCGUAGAUAUUAGGAGGAACACCAGUGGCGAAGGCGACUUACUGGACUGUAACUGACGCUGAUGCACGAAAGCGUGGGUAGCGAACAGGAUUAGAUACCCUGGUAG